UAGGGAAUCUUCCGCAAUGGGCGAAAGCCUGACGGAGCAACGCCGCGUGAGUGAUGAAGGUCUUCGGAUCGUAAAACUCUGUUAUUAGGGAAGAACAAAUGUGUAAGUAACUAUGCACGUCUUGACGGUACCUAAUCAGAAAGCCACGGCUAACUACGUGCCAGCAGCCGCGGUAAUACGUAGGUGGCAAGCGUUAUCCGGAAUUAUUGGGCGUAAAGCGCGCGUAGGCGGUUUUUUAAGUCUGAUGUGAAAGCCCACGGCUCAACCGUGGAGGGUCAUUGGAAACUGGAAAACUUGAGUGCAGAAGAGGAAAGUGGAAUUCCAUGUGUAGCGGUUAAAUGCGCAGAGAUAUGGAGGAACACCAGUGGCGAUGGCGACUUUCUGGUCUGUAACUGACGCUGCUGUGCGAAAGCGUGGGGAUCAAACAGG
rnacentral:rRNA from 1 species